rnacentral:tRNA from 1 species
GUAUCUGUAGUUCAGUCGGUUAGAAUACCGGAUUGUGGUUCCGUAGGUCGUGAGUUCGAAUCUCACCAGAUACC